CAAGGCAUCGUCAAGGUGUGUAACAAUGGAACGACAGCUAACGCUACUCAUGCAAGAUCUCUUGCAAAGGCAGUUUCGUGCCUCGUCAAGCUCGUGGUCAUCGACCCAAUGGACAGCAAGAUCAGGCAGGUUUUGUGCACCAUCGCAAGAGUGUUGGCGCGUGUACUCUCGACAAUUCCUGGGGGCAGCAUUUUAGGCGGCAUGAUAAUUGCGC
rnacentral:lncRNA from 1 species